GAAGAAUUGUCUUGGGCCACACAUGAA
rnacentral:piRNA from 1 species